rnacentral:rRNA from 1 species
GAUCGCUGUGAUGCGGGCGGUUCGCCGCCCGUGACACUGCGAGAAGUCCAUUGAACCUUAUCAUUUAGAGGAAGGAGAAGUCGUAACAAGGUUUCCGUAGGUGAACCUGCGGAAGGAUCAUUGUCGAGACCGAAAUACAUCGAGCGAUCUUGAGAACCCAUCAAAAUAAGCGGUGGCUAUUGCUGCUGCGAAUAAAAUCCAUCCCAAUUAUCGCCUCAUCCCAUCCUAGGGGCGGGGACGUGAUAAAGGAUGGAUGAACCCUCAAACCGGCGCAGCGUCGCGCCAAGGGAAUAUUGAAACACGAGCCCUAAAUCGGGUUUUGUGGCUUGGGGUGCUGUUGCACGUCAUAUGGAUUGACACGACUCUCGGCAAUGGAUAUCUCGGCUCUCGCAUCGAUGAAGAGCGCAGCGAAAUGCGAUACGUGGUGCGAAUUGCAGAAUCCCGCGAACCAUCGAGUCUUUGAACGCAAGUUGCGCCCGAGGCCAACCGGCCAAGGGCACGUCUGCCUGGGUGUCAAGCGUUGCGUCGCUCCGUGUCAAGUCACCCAUUGAUGGAUGGGUUGGCGAAGGCUUGGAUGUGCAUAGUGGCUCGUCGUGCCCCUCAGCGCGGCGGGCUGAAGAGUGGGUCAUCAUCUCGUUGGCUGCGAAUAAUAAGGGGUGGAUAAAAGCGAGGCAGAUGUUAUUGUGUUGUGCAUGCCUAAGAGAUGAUUAUACUUUUAAGAUGAUCCCAAAUCAUGCGUCGAUCCAUGGAUGGCGUUUUGAAUGCGACCCCAGGAUGGGCGAGGCCACCCGCUGAGUUUAAGCAUAUCAAUAAGCGGAGGAGAAGAAACUUACGAGGAUUCCCUUA